rnacentral:tRNA from 1 species
GCCGGAGUGGCGGAACGGUAGACGCGCGGAACUUAAAAUCCUGUGUCCGCAAGGACGCGCGGGUUCGAAUCCCGCCUCCGGCACCA